rnacentral:rRNA from 1 species
UACAGAGGUCCCAAGCGUUUGUUCGGAUUCACUGGGCGUAAAGGGUGCGUAGGCGGGUCUUUAAGUCAGGGGUGAAAUCCUGGAGCUCAACUCCAGAACUGCCUUUGAUACUGAAGAUCUUGAGUUCGGGAGAGGUGAGUGGAACUGCGAGUGUAGAGGUGAAAUUCGUAGAUAUUCGCAAGAACACCAGUGGCGAAGGCGGCUCACUGGCCCGAUACUGACGCUGAGGCACGAAAGCGUGGGGGAGCAAACAGG